GACAGGUUGAGACAAAUACUGCUUUAAUUCAAAAGUUAAACCAUCGGUGCUAUUUUUUGCUGCACCCGUUUUUUUUACAAGAUCGUCAUGAUAAUUCCAAAUAUCAUUUUUUAAAUGAUUGUUUUCAGUAACCAAUUGCAAUUGCAGUUGAAUAGGAUCAGGAGAAACAGCUGACUUCAUUUUACGAUUGAUAAUAUCAAUGGCAUGAGAAGCACUCAUUGCCUUUUGAAAAUGUAUUUUCUUGAAUCUUGGGUCCAGUAUUGUAGAAAUACAUAAAAUUUCAAAAAAUUCAAUGUCAUUGAAUCGUUUUUCAAUUUGAUAAAUAAUCGCCUCUUUAAAUUCGACUCCAAUUGCGGUAUUAUUACUUUGGCGAUAAUUUGCAUUACAUCAACGAUGUCUUUGAGAAUAGCGAUCUCUUCGUGAGAUAACAAUGGAGGAGGACUGGCACAUUUUGAUGUAACUGGAUAUACAUAAUCUUCUAGCUGAAGGUAUCGUUCAAGCAUUGCGAACGUUGAACUCCAGCGAGUUUCGACGCUUUGAAUAAAUCGAAGUGCUGUACCUUCAGUUUUUCCAUCACGUCUUUGAAGCCUUAAUAAUUCAUCACAUGCAGGAACACUUUUUCUGAUACAGCAUCAGGAACAAUGUGAGAGACACGAUGAGCGAAACACGGAAGGCCUUUUUUUUGUCCAAAAGUAUCAUUAAUUGCUUUUCUCAUAAUUGCGGCGCUAUCACUGAUAACAGCAGUUACUUUAUUGAUAUUUAAAUUAAAUGACUCUAAAAUUUUCAAUAAGGACUCCGAAAUAUUGCUACUGGUAUGUUCAGCAUCUAAAGGUUCAACACACAAGUUAUUGCUUUUUAUUUCAAGAUAAUCCUUUUUUAAUAAAUAAUGCACUGUUGCACCCAAAUAACUUUUUUGAGAGACGUCAGUCCAAAUGUCACAGGUAAUACAUAGCGAGGUGAGGCAGUCUUCACAAAUUGUUGAAAACCUUUUUUUUCUGUAAUCCUCAGUGGCAUAUAAUCAACUGCAAUCAUGUACAACAAUGAAUUUGUGAGUUUUUCGGCUUCAACACCUCCAUCUAUAAAACAAUAAAUACAAAAUCAAAAUUCAUCAAAUUUUAAACUGAACCUAAUUGAAAAGGUCAAUUUUAAAACUAACCUUCAUAUGAUUUAGCACGUUGAUACAUCUGCAUGAUGGGAUUCUGCUGGUCAACAAGAUUUCCACUAGAAGUCUUUGAUCUCUUUAGAUUAGAAACAUCGGAAGACUGCUCAACAUUGACAACUUUACGUUUUUUAUUUUUUUCUUCAAAAUUAUUUCCUAUAAAAGAUUUAUGCUUUGACAGCAGAUGCGCUCGUAAAUUCGAAGUAUUUCCGGACGUUUUGAAAAUAUUUUCACACAAGUUACACCGUGCAGAUGAUGAAUUUACUGAUAUAAAAUAAUUCCAAACUUCGCUUUUGUUUUUGGAGCUAAAAAAAAAAUUUUUUUUUUUAAGUUACUAUAAAAUUUACUAAAGUAAACAAUAUAAAAAUAUUCAAUAAAUACGUUCAAACAGAAAACAAACUAUACAUACAUCGACGAUUUACCAUUACCAAUCACAGGAGAAGUGGGAAUCGAUGGAUUAUUAUUAUCUUAAAGAAGUAAGAAUAUAAAAAAUGAUUUUAAAGUUUAAAAAUGUUA